UAAUUUAUCAUUUUUGUUCAUAGGUGUCUGGACUCUUAGGCAACAUCCUUACCAGACGGAGAAGACCAUUACUUGGAGAUCCUUGAUCCUGAGUUGGAUACAGUGACUGAAUGGGAUUUUGGACUGUUUCUCUUGUGAAUGGGUAAAUAGUCUGUGUGGGAAGAGCAGUGGAAGACUAUGUGAUGCCCAGGAGGAUAGACUCAGGAAGUUAAGUCCUGUUUAUGGUGUUGUACGAAUUACGAGCAUCCUCAGGUCCCGAGCAGCUCUUCCUCUGGAUCAGGUGUUGUGUCUGGCUGAAGGAAGAGGUGUCCCUGGAGCUGUCUCCCUUGGCACUGUCACACCAUAUGCUGCCAUAAGGAAAACGUACCAGGGAGUCUAGUCUUUGCUCGGAGUGGGAAGAAAGGCAGAUGCUCCCAGUGCGGCCUUUCUUCCAGGCAGAGGAGGAACUUCUCAGGUUUCCAUCCCACUGAAUCAUAGACUCUCACUUCCCAUCCCCACUUCCACACUCCCUAAGUUAAGAUGCUGCUCCGUGCUUUAUGGUAACAGCUCACAGCCUCAUUAAAGCUGAGGUGAACAAAUGCUUACUGACCUUUUAUCACAAAGAAGGCAAUGUUGUUUAAAAGAAAACAAAACUAAUUCUGUUGACAAUGCACCUUUCUGUCUGUUAGCCACAGAGCUUGUGUCGAGAUGGACAGCUUCCUGGGACAUUCAGCCUGCAGCCACAGUGCUCAGGAAAGACUACUGGUUUGCUGAAAUAUGAAUAUAAAAACACCUGACUCACCAAAUUAUUUCCUAGAAUAGUUAGCUGGGUGGAAGCUCACCAAGUUAAUAACUAAACCCCACAUUCAAGUCUGUUGGCAAAGGGCAUGUUUAAGCUUAAUGGCUCUGUAUCCAUCCAGAGAGAUAAAGGAGACUUUGAUAUCCUGUCUGGUUGGCUGUGAGAGGAGCACGACUCAUUAGGCACCUGGGACGCUGAAGGAGUGACCUGUACUGGAAAUAUUUUGAAAAGUGAGUCGACGUACUAGCCUAGUCCUUCAGAGACCACACCAAGCCUGAGGCAGCUGGUUAUUCAAGAAAUAGGACUUAGGGCUUCCCUGGUGACACAGUGGUUGAGAGUCCGCCUGCCAACGCAGGGGACACGGGUUCGUGCCCCGGUCCGGGAGGAUCCCACAUGCCGCAGAGUGGCUGGGUCCAUGAGCCAUGGCCGCUGAGCCUGCGCGUCCGGAGCCUGUGCUCCGCAACGGGAGAGGCCGCAGCGGUGAGAGGCCCGCGUACCGGAAAAAAGAAAUAGGACUUAAAAAAGAGAAAAUCUUGUGCAACAGAAACAUAGGGCAGAGCAAAUGAUCUCUGCAUUAUGAAUGUAUGAGUAGUCAAGAGUUAUGCUGGCUUGCAUAUGAUCCAGUAAUCCCACUCCUGGGCAUAUAUCCAGACAAAACUCUAAUUCAAAAUGAUACAUGCACCCCAGUGUUCAUAGCAGCACUUUUAUAAUAGCCAAGACAUGGAAGCAACCUAAGUGUCCAUUGACAGAUAAAUGGACAAAGAAGAUGUGGGGUAUAUACACAAUGGAAUAUUACUGAGCCAUAAAAAAGAAUGAAAUAAUGCCAUUUGCAGCAGCAUGGAUGGACUUAGAGAUGAUCAUACUAAGUGAAGUGAGCUAGACAGAGAAAAACAAAUAUCAUAUGAUAUCACUUAUAUGUGGAAUCUAAAAUUUGACACAGGGGUUUCCCUGGUGGUGCAGUGGUUAAGAAUCAUCCUGCCUAUGCAGGGGACACGGGUUUCAGCCCUGGUCCGGGAAGAUCCCACACGCCGCAGAGCAACUAAGCCCGUGUGCCACAACCACUGAGCCUGUGCUCGAGAGCCCACGAGCCACAACUACUGAACCCAUGAGCCACAACUACUGAAGCCCGCAUGCCUAGAGCCUGUGCUCUGCAACAAGAGAAGCCACUGCAAUGAGAAACUUGCACACCGCAACUAAGAGUAGCCCCUACUCACUGCAACUAGAGAAAGCCUGCAUGCAGCAAUGAAGACCCAAUACAGCCAAAAAUAAAUAAAAUAAAAAUAAUUAAGUUAAAAAAAUAAAGUAAAAUGUGACAUAAAUGAACUUAUCUAUGAAAGAAAAACAGACUCAAACAUAGAGAA